AAUCAACGCUGGCGGCGUGCCUCAGACAUGCAAGUCGAACGAUUAAAGCUCUCUUCGGAGAGUGUAUAGAGUGGCGCACGGGUGAGUAACACGUAAGUAAUCUACCUCUGAGUGGGGAAUAACGUCCGGAAACGGACGCUAAUACCGCAUAAUGCAGCGGCACCGCAAGGUGACAGUUGUUAAAGAUUUAUCGCUUAGAGAGGAGCUUGCGGCAGAUUAGCUAGUUGGUAAGGUAAUGGCUUACCAAGGCUACGAUCUGUAACCGGUCUUAGAGGACGGUCGGUCACACUGACACUGAAUAACGGGUCAGACUCCUACGGGAGGCAGCAGUCGGGAAUUUUGGGCAAUGGGCGAAAGCCUGACCCAGCAACGCCGCGUGAAGGAUGAAGUAUUUCGGUAUGUAAACUUCGAAAGAAUGGGAAGAAUCAAUGACGGUACCAUUUAUAAGGUCCGGCUAACUACGUGCCAGCAGCCGCCGUAAGAC
rnacentral:rRNA from 1 species